rnacentral:rRNA from 1 species
UGGGGAAUAUUGCACAAUGGAGGGAACUCUGAUGCAGCGACGCCGCGUGAACGAAGAAGGCUUUCGAGUCGUAAAGUUCUUUUAUAUGGGAAGAUAAUGACGGUACCAUAAGAAAAAGCCCCGGCUAACUACGUGCCAGCAGCCGCGGUAAUACGUAGGGGGCUAGCGUUGUCCGGAAUCACUGGGCGUAAAGGGUUCGCAGGCGGUUAGAAAAGUCUGAAGUGAAAGGCAGUGGCUCAACCAUUGUAGGCUUUGGAAACUGUUUAACUUGAGUGCAGAAGGGGAGAGUGGAAUUCCAUGUGUAGCGGUGAAAUGCGUAGAUAUAUGGAGGAACACCGGUGGCGAAAGCGGCUCUCUGGUCUGUAACUGACGCUGAGGCUCGAAAGCGUGGGGAGCGAACAGG